UACGUAGGGACCGAGCGUUGUCCGGAAUCAUUGGGCGUAAAGAGCGUGUAGGCGGCCACUUAAGUCCUGCGUGAAAUCUUGCGGCUCAACCGCAAGCGGUCGUGGGAAACUGGGUGGCUAGAGUGCGGGAGAGGAGAGUGGAAUUCCUGGUGUAGCGGUGGAAGGCGCAGAUAUCAGGAAGAACACCCGUGGCGAAGGCGGCUCUCUGGAACGCAACUGACGCUGAGACGCGAAAGCGUGGGGAGCAAACAGG
rnacentral:rRNA from 1 species